rnacentral:rRNA from 1 species
GAUGGACGCUGGCGGCGUGCCUAAUACAUGCAAGUCGAGCGAACAGACGAGGAGCUUGCUCCUCUGACGUUAGCGGCGGACGGGUGAGUAACACGUGGAUAACCUACCUAUAAGACUGGGAUAACUUCGGGAAACCGGAGCUAAUACCGGAUAAUAUAUUGAACCGCAUGGUUCAAUAGUGAAGGACGGUUUUGCUGUCACUUAUAGAUGGAUCCGCGCCGCAUUAGCUAGUUGGUAAGGUAACGGCUUACCAAGGCAACGAUGCGUAGCCGACCUGAGAGGGUGAUCGGCCACACUGGAACUGAGACACGGUCCAGACUCCUACGGGAGGCAGCAGUAGGGAAUCUUCCGCAAUGGGCGAAAGCUUGACGGAGCAACGCCGCGUGAGUGAUGAAGGUCUUCGGAUCGUAAAACUCUGUUAUUAGGGAAGAACAAAUGUGUAAGUAACUAUGCACGCCUUGACGGUACCUAAUCAGAAAGCCACGGCUAACUACGUG